rnacentral:rRNA from 1 species
GAGUUUGAUCAUGGCUCAGAUUGAACGCUGGCGGCAUGCCUUACACAUGCAAGUCGAACGGCAGCACGGGAGCUUGCUCCUGGUGGCGAGUGGCGAACGGGUGAGUAAUGCAUCGGAACGUAUCCUGGAGUGGGGGAUAACGUAGCGAAAGUUACGCUAAUACCGCAUAUUCUGUGAGCAGGAAAGCGGGGGACCUUCGGGCCUCGCGCUCUUGGAGCGGCCGAUGUCGGAUUAGCUAAGUUGGUGAGGUAAAGGCUCACCAAGGCGACGAUCCGUAGCAGGUCUGAGAGGAUGAUCUGCCACACUGGAACUGAGACACGGUCCAGACUCCUACGGAGGCAGGGCAGUGGGAAUUUUGGACAAUGGGGCAACCCUGAUCCAGCCAUGCCGCGUGAGUGAAGAAGGCCUCGG